rnacentral:rRNA from 1 species
UAAUACGGAGGGUGCAAGCGUUAUCCGGAUUCACUGGGUUUAAAGGGAGCGCAGGCGGGCAUGUAAGUCAGUGGUGAAAGCCUAGAGCUUAACUCUAGAACUGCCAUUGAUACUAUGUGUCUUGAAUAUUGUUGAGGUAUGCGGAAUGGGUCAUGUAGCGGUGAAAUGCAUAGAUAUGACCCGGAACACCAAUUGCGAAGGCAGCAUGCUAAACAAAGAUUGACGCUGAGGCUCGAAAGCGUGGGGAUCAAACAGGAUUAGAUACCCUGGUAGUCCACGCCCUAAACGAUGAUUACUCGACAUACGCGAUACACAGUGUGUGUCUGAGCGAAAGCAUUAAGUAAUCCACCUGGGAAGUACGACCGCAAGGUUG